UUUUAGUAAUGCACAUCUUUCCCACACACAAACAAAGAAAAAGUUUUUCUACAUAUCCGCACGAAACCAUUGGUGGUGCUCUGGUAGCUCUAAAGAAAAGAAAAGAAAAGCAAGAGCCAAGCACAAUCUGAUGUGGAUUUGCAAAAUCCAACAGGAAGCCUGCUUUUUUCUACGUUGCACUUAGGAGAGAUCAUCUGAUCUCCACUUGGAAAGAUGAAUGCGUGCCAACAGGAUCCAUUUCUGCCCUUGUAAAAUGGACACGUGGCAUACGUCACAUCCCAUAAGAGGAGGAGGAGGAGGAGGAGAGACCUUUUUCUGUGGUGAACAUGAACAGUGCCCUAGAAAGAGAUAAGGAAGGGGCCGCCGGAAAGAGAGAAGGAAAAAGAUCAAUCCGUGACUACGAGAGGCCUCAAAGAAGAAUGAGUGGUGAGCUUGUUUGGACCACCUCGGUUUUUGCUUCGAGGAGAGGAGAGGAGAGGCAAAAGUUAAAAUUGCCCCCACAACCCAAGUGACCCACCCGCCACCAUUUUUUUCACUAGCC
rnacentral:lncRNA from 1 species